rnacentral:rRNA from 1 species
UACGGGGGGGGCAAGCGUUGUUCGGAAUUACUGGGCGUAAAGGGCUCGUAGGUGGCCAACUAAGUCAGACGUGAAAUCCCUCGGCUUAACCGGGGAACUGCGUCUGAUACUGGAUGGCUUGAGUUUGGGAGAGGGACGCGGAAUUCCAGGUGUAGCGGUGAAAUGCGCAGAUAUCAGGAGGAACACCGGUGGCGAAGGCGGUUCUCUGGGCAUGUCCUGACGCUGAGGAGCGAAAGUGUGGGGAGCGAACAGG